UGGCCGGGACUGAGGAGAGAAGGCGUGGGAAGGAGCGGGCUCCGGCGCUCAUCCCAGCCCCUUUUCUCCCCUGGACU
ensembl:miRNA aca-mir-5417 aca-mir-5417